GGCUGAGUUCAACCCCGGGGUUGAAAUUUCAAUCCUGCUAGCUGAAGCAGGGUUGAAUUAUAAACCCUGGGGUUGAACUCAGCC
rnacentral:miRNA from 1 species